GGCUCAGGACGAACGCUGGCGGCGUGCCUAACACAUGCAAGUCGAGCGAGGAGAUUCCUUCGGGAUGAUCCUAGCGGCGGACGGGUGAGUAACACGUGGGCAACCUGCCUCAUAGAGAGGAAUAGCCUUCCGAAAGGGAGAUUAAUACCUCAUAACAUUGCAGUUUCGCAUGGAACAGCAAUUAAAGGAGUAAUCCGCUAUGAGAUGGGCCCGCGGCGCAUUAGCUAGUUGGUGAGGUAACGGCUCACCAAGGCGACGAUGCGUAGCCGACCUGAGAGGGUGAUCGGCCACAUUGGGACUGAGACACGGCCCAGACUCCUACGGGAGGCAGCAGUGGGGAAUAUUGCACAAUGGGGGAAACCCUGAUGCAAGCAACGCCGCGUGAGUGAUGACGGCCUUCGGGUUGUAAAGCUCUGUCUUCAGGGACGAUAAUGACGGUACCUGAGGAGGAAGCCACGGCUAACUACGUGCCAGCAGCGGC
rnacentral:rRNA from 1 species